rnacentral:lncRNA from 1 species
GUCCAAUUGAAUUUGCUCCAUUCCCUUUAGAGAAUGUGGUAGCAGUAUGUGAUAAGUCUGAAAGAAGACAAAAUUAUUACCAUGAAGGUAUCAAUGAUGUGGACGAGGCAAUAGACCGAAUUAUAAUCGUCAUCAUUGUGAUAAGAGAAUAAUAAAGAUUCUCAAAAUAAUCUUUCACUUUAUGAAAGUAAUAUUUUGUAUAUAACACAUACAGAUGAUUAUAAUCCAUU